rnacentral:tRNA from 1 species
UUAUUGGUAGGUUAUUAUAAACUGACAAGUUGUGGUUUUGUUGAAUACUUUAGUGUACCAGUAAA